rnacentral:rRNA from 1 species
UUGGAGGGCAAGUAUGGUGCCAGCAGCCGCGGUAAUUCCAGCUCCAAUAGCGUAUAUUAAAGUUGUUGCAGUUAAAAAGCUCGUAGUUGAAUUUCGGGGUUAGUAGGUUGGUCAUGCCUCUGGUAUGUACUGAUCUCACUGAUUCCUCCUUCCUUAUGAACCGUAAUGCCAUUAAUUUGGUGUUGCGGGGAAUUUGGACUGUUACUUUGAAAAAAUUAGAGUGUUUAAAGCAGGCUAACGCUUGAAUACAUUAGCAUGGAAUAAUGAAAUAGGACGUUCGAUCUUAUUUUGUUGGUUUCUAGGAUUGACGUAAUGAUUAAUAGGGAUAGUUGGGGGCAUUAGUAUUCAAUUGUCAGAGGUGAAAUUCUUGGAUUUAUUGAAGACUAACUACUGCGAAAGCAUUUGCCAAGGAUGUUUUCAUUAAUCAAGAACGAAAGUUAGGGGAUCGAAGACGAUCAGAUACCGUCGUAGUCUUAACCAUAAACUAUGCCGACUAGGGAUCGGAUGAUGUUAAUUUUUUAAUGACUCAUUCGGCACCUUACGGGAAAC